rnacentral:rRNA from 1 species
AACGAACGCUGGCGGCAGGCUUAACACAUGCAAGUCGAACGCAUCCUUCGGGGUGAGUGGCAGACGGGUGAGUAACGCGUGGGAACGUGCCCUUCAGUUCGGGAUAACCCAGGGAAACUUGGGCUAAUACCGGAUACGUGCGAGAGCAGAAAGAUUUAUCGCUGAAGGAUCGGCCCGCGUCUGAUUAGCUAGUUGGUGGGGUAAUGGCCCACCAAGGCGACGAUCAGUAGCUGGUCUGAGAGGAUGAUCAGCCACAUUGGGACUGAGACACGGCCCAAACUCCUACGGGAGGCAGCAGUGGGGGAUAUUGGACAAUGGGCGCAAGCCUGAUCCAGCCAUGCUGCGUGAGUGAUGAAGGCCUUAGGGUUGUAAAGCUCUUUCGUCCGGGACGAUAAUGACGGUACCGGAAGAAGAAGCCCCGGCUAACUUCGUGCCAGCCGCCGCCGUAAGAC